UACGUAGGGUGCGAGCGUUGUCCGGAAUUAUUGGGCGUAAAGGGCUCGUAGGCGGUUUGUCGCGUCGGGAGUGAAAACACUGGGCUUAACUCAGUGCUUGCUUCCGAUACGGGCAGACUAGAGGUAUUCAGGGGAGAACGGAAUUCCUGGUGUAGCGGUGAAAUGCGCAGAUAUCAGGAGGAACACCGGUGGCGAAGGCGGAUCUCUGGGCCUUACCUGACGCUCAGGCGCGAAAGCAUGGGGAGCGAACAGG
rnacentral:rRNA from 1 species